AUCAUCUUCACCCAAAAAUCUACGUGUCACUUUGUGAUUAUUUUUGGCUCUACAUCAUCUACUUAUUUAAUACUUAUAUUAUCACCAAACUGUUUUCUGAAUGAUUUCUUCUUCAUAUAGAUAGACAUAGGAUUUAUGGAACAAUUACUUAAAAAUACAGUUUGUGGUUACGCUGGAUCAAUAUUAUCAACAAUUAUCCAGCAAACAACAAAUACUGACUAGACUUAUUAUUGUUUGAGUUUGUUUAUCUCGUUAAAAAAAAAAGUCUCAUUUCUACAUCUGAGUUAAACCCAACAUUUAAAAGGAACGAAGGAUUUGUGAAAACAAAGGGUGGGACAAAGACAGCAAAAGCACAAAUUAGCAAAGCAUCACAAUGAAAACCAAAGGUAAAGUGAAGAAAAAGGUAGCUGAGAUAGAUAGAUUAAGGAUGAAAGACACGUUGCGAGCAUGGGCAACCACAACUAUAUAUAAAACAUACUUGAUAAAGCAUGUAAUCGCUUUAACAACAUCAUUAUAAAAAAAAUCCUUGGGCGGCAGCUAGAAGGGUGCGAUGUUUCAUUAGCGCAUAUAAGCCAAAAAAUUUAUCCGCUGUGAUUAUUGUAACAUCAUCAUUUAUUUAGAAUUCACAAAUGCAUGAAAAAAACUUAUAGGAACAUAAAGAAGACAAAAAAAAAAAAAUCAAUAAGAGCACUGAGAUGCACAGACCAACAAAGAAUCAAUCAGAUAUAAGAUGAUGUUAUGGAUUUAGACAAAACUUAUUACAAACAGUUGUUAUCGAUUUACUUCAUACAAUACAUUCACAGUUAUAUUCACCAAAACGCAUUAUAAAAUUAAUUCUCAACAGUUAUCAUUGUUUAAACACCAACCUAAUCGUAGCUAUUACCUUUCUUGUCAAGUAUCUCUAUAAGUAUUUUAACCAUAGCUCCAAACAACAAACAAAGCAACUGAAAGAAUCAAAGAAACAAAAAAACCACGCGAUGACCUAAAACGAAACAAAGUUUGAUGUAUAAUUUAAACAGUCCAUAAAAGCCUUUAACAAUUUUAUAUUUUACCAAUACUUUUUCAAUCAAAUUUGUUUUCUGUUUAAGCUUAGCUACGUCAUUUAUCCAUCUCUUGGAAUGCAUUUACAAUCAGAUUUGCCAAAUGACACUAUAAAAUUAAUUCUUAAUACUCACCAUACUGAAUUAUGAUUUAUAAAGGUCGUACCCAGUGCACAAGGCUCCCGCUUUACGCAGGGUCUGGGAGAGGUGAAUGUCGGUUAGCCUUACCCCCAUUUUAUGGAG
rnacentral:lncRNA from 1 species